GAUGAACGCUGGCGGCGUGCCUAAUACAUGCAAGUCGAGCGAACGCAUGAGAAGCUUGCUUCUCUGAUGUUAGCGACGGACGGGUGAGUAACACGUGGGUAACCUACCUAGAAGACUGGGAUAACUUCGGGAAACCGGAUCUAACACCGGAUCAUAUGUUGAACCGCAUGGUUCAAAAGUGAAAGACGGUCUUGCUGUCACUUAUAGAUGGAUCCGCGCUGCAUUAGCUAGUUGGUAAGGUAACGGCUUACCAAGGCAACGAUGCAUAGCCGACCUGAGAGGAUGAUCGGCCACACUGGAACUGAGACACGGCCCAGACUCCUACGGGAGGCAGCAGUAGGGAAUUUUCCGCAAUGGGCGAAAGCCUGACGGAGCAACGCCGCGUGAGUGAUGAAGGUCUUCGGAUCGUAAACUUCUUUUAUUAGGGAAGAACAUAUGUGUAAGAAAAUGUGCACCUCAUGACGGUACCUAAUGAGAAAGCCACGGCUAACUACGUG
rnacentral:rRNA from 1 species